UACGUAGGGGGCGAGCGUUGUCCGGAUUUAUUGGGCGUAAAGAGCUCGUAGGCGGCUUAGCAAGUCGGGUGUGAAAACUCUGGGCUCAACCCAGAGCCGCCACCCGAUACUGCUGUGACUCGAGUGCGGUAGGGGAGCGGGGAAUUCCUGGUGUAGCGGUGAAAUGCGCAGAUAUCAGGAGGAACACCAGUGGCGAAGGCGCCGCUCUGGGCCGUGACUGACGCUGAGGAGCGAAAGCGUGGGUAGCAAACAGG
rnacentral:rRNA from 1 species